rnacentral:tRNA from 1 species
GGAUAUCGCUCAAAUGGUAGAGUGCACGCUUAGCAUGCAUGAGAUCCUGGGUUCAAUUCCCAGUACCUCCU